rnacentral:rRNA from 1 species
GAGUUUGAUCGUGGCUCAGAACGAACGCUGGCGGCAUGCCUAACACAUGCAAGUCGAACGGGAUCCAGCCUUCGGGUUGGUGAGAGUGGCGGACGGGUGAGUAACGCGUGGGAACCUGCCCAGUGGUGGGGGAUAACUGCGGGAAACUGCAGCUAAUACCGCAUGAGCCCGAGAGGGGAAAGAUUUAUCGCCAUUGGAGGGGCCCGCGUUCGAUUAGGUAGUUGGUGAGGUAACGGCUCACCAAGCCGACGAUCGAUAGCUGGUCUGAGAGGAUGAUCAGCCACACUGGGACUGAGAUACGGCCCAGACUCCUACGGGAGGCAGCAGUGGGGAAUAUUGGACAAUGGGGGCAACCCUGAUCCAGCAAUGCCGCGUGAGUGAUGAAGGCCUUCGGUUGUAAGCUCUUUGCCAGGACGAUGAUGACGGUACCUGGAGAAUAAGACCCCGGCUAACUUCGUGCCAGCAGCAGCCGCCG